ensembl:lncRNA
GCUUGUCCUUGCUCAGUAUGGAGGGGCUGUGUCUGCAGCACCCAGGUCUGUUCUGCAGCUGCUGAGUGAAUUGCUGGUGGCUGUGUGCACAGAUCCAGAAUCAAACAGCUGGGGCUCUCAGCCCCGAGGAACAUCGUCAGCAAGAUCAAGAGAAGUUGCUUGCACCCAGCUCUGAAGCACAGCCAUGCUGAGAGCUGUGCGUGGUUCCUUGCAGUGUGUGGAGGCCAGGGCCAUGCUGGGGGCAUCCUGUGGAGCUUCAGGUGGGUGAGGUGAGGCAUGCAAGAGGCUACUAGGACACCACCUCUUUCUGGGGGGGCCUUUGAGCAUCAUAAUUGCAGUAGUGCUUGCCGUGUGUGCCUCCCAUGUCCUGGGGAGCAGAGGUUGGUAAAUGCUGGGGCAGCGCUCCCAGCCUGCCUGCCUGGGGGCUCCUGGAGUGCCACCAGUCACCAUGGGUUGCACAGGAGCUCGGCUGGCAUGGCCCUUGGCUGGCCGAUGUGUUUAGGGCACAGUGCAAGAACUGCAGGACCUGAUCGUCCCAUGCGGAGAACAACGAGGUUGAGGAGGACCUUCUUGUAACAGCCAGGUACUACCUUGCCCUUAUUAGAAGUGGCACAGGCAUGUUCCGGGCAGAAUUUGUGUCCAGGUGGGGAUGCAGGGUAGGGUAUGGGUCUGGCAGCAGGCGGGUUGGCUGGUGGGGGGCUCUUGGCUGGAAUUCAGGGUGGGAUGGCGCUGGGGUAGAGGUCAGGGUGCUGGAGGAUGGGACUGUAACGCCGUGAGGCGCCCUGGCAGGGUUAGGGUUAGAAAUGCUGAUACGCUCAGUUUAUUGCUAUGAAUGAUAAUUACUGCCAGGAUAAGCCCUUGAGAUGAUGCUGUCAAGGGCUAUCUUAACAAGGGCCAUGGCUGGGACUGGCUGAGAUGGGGAGGCUGGGGUUAACACCAGCUGGGGACUGGGCUAGCAGAGACUGUGAGUCAGCGUUACAGCUGGAUACAGAAGCUAUGGGACCAUGUGCUGGGCUGGGUUUGGCAAGGGCUGGAUGCCUGACCUAGACCUAACGCAUUGACAAGUGACUUGAAGCUAGAGCUGACCUUGGCAGGAGCCCAAGAAUUUGCACGGGCCCUGGGUCCAGCGGUGUCUGCUGGGCUGGGUUCAGGGCAGGUGGUGGCUGUGGCCGCUGGGCUGGCACCAGCACAGGCCCUGUUGCAGGGCUGGGAUGCCACCAGGGACGCAUACGGGUUUGCCGGUGGCAGGGCCUGCUAGGCUGAGGAUGUUCCUGGAGCUGUUUUUGGGGGUUUGCUCUGUGCAGCAGAGUGCUUAGAGCCGGGCAUGCCAAAUAGAGAGUUGACUCAGCUUGUGAGGUUUUAAUCAAAAUGCUUAGGUUUGUAUUAAGGUGUGCAAAGCAAACAGUAAUUAUAAAGUUAACCACAUUUCAACCCUUUCACUUAAAAGCACGUAAUGAACAUCAGUGCCGAAGCCUCAACAAGUCCUGCAAACAUGGGAGAGAAUAGUGUCAAAACUACUGAGGUAAGUCAAAUCGCUCUGAAUUAACAAGGGUGGUGUGGACCGUAAUAAUAUAUUUACAGCCUGGUGAUUAUUCUGUGAGAAAGAAGGGAAGGGUUUAAAUCCUUGUUUAGUUUAAGCUGCAUUUUAGUGCAGCCGGCCCUUCAGUAGUACGCAGUUAAAAAUGUAGUCUGUCAAAUCCCGCUGACAUAUUUUGGCAAUAGAUAUUUCCUCUAAUUGAAAGCAAUUGUUGUGCUGUAAGCUUUCCUCCUUUCCCAUUUGUUUUGGUUAACGGGUAGUAGUGGCCUGUCUACUUAAGCACGUAUUGAGCAACUGCUCACUGGAAAGUUAGCAUAUUGCAAAGAGUGUGGCACGAUCCUGCCUGACUUCAUAAGGAAAAACUUCCUCCGGGCUUUGGCGGGGGACAUUGAACAAAGCUGGUGGGAUCAGCCCCGCUGGCUGCCGUUGCAGGGCCUUGCCGCUCGGGUCAGCUAGGGGCUUCGUGUGCGAAUCCUGGGGUAAGAAUCAGGCUCGCUUCCAAGGCGGCCAUGCUUUGUUUUGAACAAUCAGCCCGGCCCCCGCUGCGAAUCCCACGAGGGGAUGCUCUGCUUUAUGUUGCGUUCGCUUCCUUUGCUGGGAGCCAAAUGCUGCAUCCCACGCUGCUGGAAUUCAGUCAGAAGUAGCGGGACCAGAGCUGGGGCCUGACAUGGACGGGACGCGGCCGUCCCUGCGUCGGGCGCUGCUGUGGCUCCGGCGGCAGCACCGGUCCUUGAGCGGGCUGGGCCCCCCGCCCCGGGCACGCCGCUGCCCAAGCAGCACCGGGGGCUGCUCCCUGCCCCCCCUGCACUGCCGCUGGCCCCGGUACAUGCUCAGUUUCUUGCAGAGCAGAGCUGGAGACAUGUUUGAGCUUACUGGCUGUGCUUCCAGCCCCGAUGGGCUCUGGGGGGCAGUGAGCGCUGAGCACUUUCUUAACCUCUAGAGAGAAAACCAAAAAGCAGCAGGUCACAAAGCGGACCUGUGGGCAGGUGGGGAGCCUGCUGCUGCUGCUUCCCAGCUGAGGGCCCAGCCUGUAAAACCAAAACUCUUUUCCACCCUCAACACUGGUGUCAAAUCCCAGCACAGCCUACAAAACAUACAUUUUUCAUUGCCUGGUGAUAAACCUCCUUGUCUGGAAAAUCCUGCCAUUAUUGUGUGUGUGCGAACUUUCACCAGCACUGAAUCCAUCAUUAACCCAGAAGGAGACCUUUUCAUGCUCGCAACCUCUGUCUGCACAGCUCCUCUCUGGAGGCGAAUCCCUCACGGUGAGCACGUCAGCCGGCUGCACGCUGCAGACAAGGUUAUGACUGCAUUACACACUCUGCUCUAUAUUACGCUGGGAAAGGUUCAUCUUCGAAAACAAAGAGAUUUGAGGGGGAAAAAAGCAUGAUUCUUCUCAGAAAGCGCCACAUGUCCCCAUAAAUCCUUCUCACCCUUGCUCAGACCAGGGCUGGAGGCCAGCAACACGGUGGCAGUGGAGCCUGCCAGUGCAAUUCCUGCAACAGCCAUUUGCAGUGAAGCCUGAGCCCACACCACAGCUCAUGCUUAGAUUAAAGGACGUUUGGGAAGGGACCUUGCCUUAAUCUUUCUGCUAAGCACCUAGCAGAAUCCCAGUGUGCUAAAUCAUUAGUAAUAACAGCAAUGACAGUCUGGCCUCCUUCUCCAUGAGCUGUGCUCACAAUAUAGAUUAGUAACAAUAAAAUAGGGACUCAGUCCA